AGUGAACGCUGGCGGUAGGCCUAACACAUGCAAGUCGAACGGCAGCACAGUAAGAGCUUGCUCUUACGGGUGGCGAGUGGCGGACGGGUGAGGAAUACAUCGGAAUCUACUCUUUCGUGGGGGAUAACGUAGGGAAACUUACGCCAAUACCGCAUACGACCUACGGGUGAAAGCAGGGGAUCUUCGCACCUUGCGCGAUUGAAUGAGCCGAUGUCGGAUUAGCUAGUUGGCGGGGUAAAGGCCCACCAAGGCGCCGAUCCGUAGCUGGUCUGAGAGGAUGAUCGGCCGCACUGGAACUGAGACGCGGUCCAGACUACUACGGGACGCAGCAGUGGGGAAUGUUGGACAAUGGGGGCGAGCCUGAUCCAGCCAUAGCGCGUGGGUGAAGAAGGCCUUCGGGUUGUAAAGCCCUUUUGUUGGGAAAGAAAAGCAGCAGGUUGAUACGCCGCUGUUGUGACGGUACCCAAAGAAUAAGCACCGGCUAACUACGUG
rnacentral:rRNA from 1 species